UAGGGAAUCUUCCGCAAUGGACGCAAGUCUGACGGAGCAACGCCGCGUGAGUGAAGAAGGAUUUCGGUUCGUAAAACUCUGUUGUUAGAGAAGAACAGCGCAUAGAGUAACUGUUAUGCGUGUGACGGUAUCUAACCAGAAAGCCACGGCUAACUACGUGCCAGCAGCCGCGGUAAUACGUAGGUGGCAAGCGUUGUCCGGAUUUAUUGGGCGUAAAGCGAGCGCAGGCGGUCAAUUAAGUCUGAUGUGAAAGCCCCCGGCUCAACCGGGGAGGGUCAUUGGAAACUGGUUGACUUGAGUGCAGAAGAGGAGAGUGGAAUUCCAUGUGUAGCGGUGAAAUGCGUAGAUAUAUGGAGGAACACCAGUGGCGAAGGCGACUCUCUGGUCUGUAACUGACGCUGAGGCUCGAGAGCGUGGGUAGCAAACAGG
rnacentral:rRNA from 1 species